UGGGGGAUAUUGCACAAUGGGCGAAAGCCUGAUGCAGCGACGCCGCGUGGGGGAUGAAGGCCUUCGGGUUGUAAACUUCUUUUGCUCUGAACAAGGCAUGCUAAUGGGUGUGUUGAGUGUAGGGGUUGAUUAGCGCCGGCUAACUACGUGCCAGCAGCCGCGGUAAUACGUAGGGCGCGAGCGUUGUCCGGAAUUAUUGGGCGUAGAGGGCUUGUAGGUGGCUGGUUGCGUCUGUCGUGAAAGCUCAUGGCUUAACUGUGGGUUUGCGGUGGGUACGGGCUGGCUUGAGUGCAGUGGGGGAGGCUGGAAUUCCUGGUGGAGCGGUGGAGUGCGCAGAUAUCAGGAGGAAUACCGGUGGCGAAGGCGGGUCUCUGGGCUGUUACUGACACUGAGGAGCGAAAGCAUGGGGAGCGAACAGG
rnacentral:rRNA from 1 species